AGGUGUGAGGGCCAUCUGGCUGCUACAUCUGUCACCCCUCUUUAUCACUAGGGUUGAUUUGGCUGAUCUGGUUGGGUAGGCAGACGCCCCCUUCUCCCCCACCACUCCAUAUGCGUCCCUCCUGAAGCUGAAUGAUACUCAGUAGAAAAGGAUGACCUGCUCCAGUAGAUGAGGAGGACCACUGUCUGGUCAAGGGGAGCUGUGCUCCCCUACUCAACCUCCACACAAGCUCUCAAGGUCCAUUAGUAGGAGCAUGCAUGUUGGUCAGGCUCCCAAGACUUCAGACACAUCCAAAUGAGGCAAUGCAUGUGGCAGUCUGCAUUUAUUU
rnacentral:snRNA from 1 species